AUAUUAUUUCUACAUACGAUUCAAUUUUUAUUGACUAUUACAUAUUCAUGUAUGUUAUAUGAGUACGUAUCAUAACAAAAGCUUAUCUUUAGCGUAAAAAAUUACAGCACCGUAGACGCACAAAAGCCAUUUCAACAUUUUUUUUUGUUUCCUCUUUUUCGCAGCCAAAGUUUUUUUUUUUUGGGACCCUGAGUUUCUGCCAUCGAUGGUAAUGGAGCUUCAGUAUCACUCCCCAGCCAAAUCUUUAAUUUUGUUUUGAGGAUUAUUGGCAUGAUUCGGUGUAGUGGCAGCCAUGUGCAUGGCUUGUGGAUUAUUGGAAUUGUAUGGAUUGUGACGUGGCAGCAAUGGUGGUGGCUCGGCUUGGUGUAUGGUCGACUUGAUGGGGAACGUGCAUAUUAGUUCGGUUUUGUGGGGGGCUGGUGGCGUGAAAGAUUUCCGCCACCGUCAAGAGUGGGAUGGGCGACAUCGACUUGAUGUGGAGGAGUGGCGGUUCGGUUUUGUGGGGGCUUUUGGUGUGACGGCUGCAUGGUGGUGUUUUUUAGAUGGCGGCGGUGGGUUAGAGUGUGGAAUAGUUUUCGGGUUAGAGCAUGUGGCAGCGGUUUGGAUGGGCUGAUGGGUAGACGGCAGUGGCAUGGUGGUUUGGUGAGUGUUCAACUGCGGCGAGAAGCCAUAAAGGCCGAGCAAGGUGUUGGGUCUGGUUCGGCCCGAGACACAGAAGAUUUUUUACUUUUGGAGCAGGGUGUCAUUAGAAAUUGUCCUCUUAAAGUUAUAAAUUGCCAAUAGUCCGAUUCUUUAAAUUAAUUUUAAAUUUUAUAAUAAAUUUCAAUAUAAUAUUAAUUGUAAAAUAUGUCUAACUAGC
rnacentral:lncRNA from 1 species